rnacentral:rRNA from 1 species
CAAGCGGUGGAUGAUGUGGAUUAAUUCGAUGCAACGCGAAAAACCUUACCUACCCUUGACAUGCCAAGAACUUGCCAGAGAUGGCUUGGUGCCCGAAAGGGAGCUUGGACACAGGUGCUGCAUGGCUGUCGUCAGCUCGUGUCGUGAGAUGUUGGGUUAAGUCCCGCAACGAGCGCAACCCUUGUCAUUAGUUGCCAUCAUUUAGUUGGGCACUCUAAUGAGACUGCCGGUGACAAACCGGAGGAAGGUGGGGAUGACGUCAAGUCCUCAUGGCCCUUAUGGGUAGGGCUUCACACGUCAUACAAUGGUCGGUACAGAGGGUUGCCAAGCCGCGAGGUGGAGCCAAUCCCAGAAAGCCGAUCGUAGUCCGGAUCGUAGUCUGCAACUCGACUGCGUGAAGUCGGAAUCGCUAGUAAUCGCGGAUCGGCAUGUCGCGGUGAAUACGUUCCCGGGUCUUGUACACACCGCCCGUCACACCAUGGGAGUGGGUUCUACCAGAAGUAGGUAGCCUAACCGUAAGGGGGGCGCUUACCACGGUAGGAUUCAUGACUG